CAGGUGUAGUAGACCUUACAGUGAAAUGCUGAAUACAACAGGUGUAGUAGACCUUACCGUGAAAUGCUGAAUACAACAGGUGUAGUAGACCUUACAGUGAAAUGCUGAAUACAACAGGUGUAGUAGACCUUACAGUGAAAUGCUGAAUACAACAGGUGUAGUAGACCUUACAGUGAAAUGCUGAAUACAACAGGUGUAGUAGACCUUACAGUGAAAUGCUGAAUACAACAGGUGUAGUAGACCUUACAGUGAAAUGCUGAAUACAACAGGUGUAGUAGACCUUACAGUGAAAUGCUGAAUACAACAGGUGUAGUAGACCUUACAGUGAAAUGCUGAAUACAACAGGUGUAGUAGACCUUACCGUGAAAUGCUGAAUACAACAGGUGUAGUAGACCUUACAGUGAAAUGCUGAAUACAACAGGUGUAGUAGACCUUACAGUGAAAUGCUGAAUACAACAGGUGUAGUAGACCUUACCGUGAAAUGCUGAAUACAACAGGUGUAGUAGACCUUACCGUGAAAUGCUGAAUACAACAGGUGUAGUAGACCUUACAGUGAAAUGCUGAAUACAACAGGUGUAGUAGACCUUACAGUGAAAUGCUUACUUA